rnacentral:rRNA from 1 species
UACGUAGGGUGCAAGCGUUAAUCGGAAUUACUGGGCGUAAAGCGUGUGUAGGCGGUUAUGUAAGACAGAGGUGAAAUCCCUGGGCGUCAAUUUGGGUAACGUGCCUUUGUUGACUGCAUAGCUAGAGUACGGCAGAGGGGAGUGGAAUUCCGCGUGUAGCAGUGAAAUGCGUAGAUAUGCGGAGGAACACCGAUGGCGAAGGCAAUCCCCUGGGCCGUGUACUGACGCUCAUGCACGAAAGCGUGGGGAGCAAACAGGAUUAGAAACCCGUGUAGU